UUGCACAGUGUACACCCAAGUGUGCUUUCUGUGGUUACCUUGGCCUUGAAUCUGUGCUAGAGUAAAGCCUCUUCUUUUCCUCUCCAAUGAAAGGGUACUGUGUCCUCUUAAAUGUGUUCAGAAAAAUUGGCAUAUCA
rnacentral:snoRNA from 1 species